AGUCCCUUGGCCAACAGGGAAGCCAUUUCAGAGCCAGGUAGGCCCAGUAUGGGCAUUCGGGACAGCACAUCUAAGGUGACAGAAAUGCUUUACGUUUUAUAAAAUCAGCCUCCCUGUUUUCUCCUGGGAUCUGUUUAUAGGCCACGCUUUGAGUCCUGGGAAAUGACACCACUGAAGACAAGUCCAGGAGAGAUCUGGAUAUAGCACUCUCAACUUCCAUGUCUGCCCUUGAGUCACUGUGCUCCCAACAUGAGGAUAAUGAACUAAACCUCUGAAACUUCUUUGAAGUUAUACUAAGAAAACUUCCCACUGUGCUUCAUUUAUAAAGAUAAAUACUCAUCAGUAUUUUCUUUCACUUUUAAUGGACAAAUUAAAGUGCUUGCAUUUAACUUUCAUUUAUGAUUUAAAC